rnacentral:rRNA from 1 species
UGGGGAAUAUUGGACAAUGGGCGAAAGCCUGAUCCAGCCAUGCCGCGUGUGUGAAAAAGGUCUUCGGAUUGUAAAGCACUUUAAGUUGGGAGGAAGGGCAGUAAGCGAAUACCUUGCUGUUUUGACGUUACCGACAGAAUAAGCACCGGCUAACUCUGUGCCAGCAGCCGCGGUAAUACAGAGGGUGCAAGCGUUAAUCGGAAUUACUGGGCGUAAAGCGCGCGUAGGUGGUUCGUUAAGUUGAAUGUGAAAGCCCCGGGCUCAACCGGGGAACUGCAUCCAAAACUGGCGAGCUAGAGUAGGGCAGAGGGUGGUGGAAUUUCCUGUGUAGCGGUGAAAUGCGUAGAUAUAGGAAGGAACACCAGUGGCGAAGGCGACCACCUGGGCUCAUACUGACACUGAGGUGCGAAAGCGUGGGGAGCAAACAGG